CUUCUUCCACCUCUUCAUCUGAUCGCAGCCAUUAACGUCGAUUAAGGUUUAAGUUGGAUGACUUGGAUCCAUAGCCUCUCACGCACUACGUUACUUGAGUGCUUCUUUAACUUCAAACUUGGCCCUGCUCUUCCUCCAAGCUUUGAG